rfam:Aedes albopictus isolate Foshan contig130074, whole genome shotgun sequence.
UGCCCAGCAACUCCUAUCCCUACCUCCUCGUGGUACCGGCCGGAAACUAUGAGCAACCUUAGGGAAGAUCGGGUAACCAACCCCGGUGGGAACUUUGGUCAUAGGCUGACAGCGAAGG